GACGAACGCUGGCGGCGUGCUUAACACAUGCAAGUCGAACGGAAAGGCCCUGCUUUUGUGGGGUGCUCGAGUGGCGAACGGGUGAGUAACACGUGAGUAACCUGCCCUUGACUUUGGGAUAACUCUAGGAAACUGGGGCUAAUACCGGAUAGGAGCUCCUGCUGCAUGGUGGGGGUUGGAGAGUUUCGGCGGUGGGGGAUGGACUCGCUGCUUAUGAGCUUGAUGGUGGGGUAGUGGCUUACCAAGGCUGUGACGGGUAGCCGGCCUGGGAGGGUGACCGGCCACCUUGGGACUGAGAUACGGACCAGACUCCUACGGGCGGCAGUAGUGGGGAAUAUUGCACAAUAGGCGGAAGCCUGAUACAGCAACGCCGGGUGCGGGAUACCGGCCUUUGGGUUGUAAACAGCUUUCUAAUGUGACGAAGCGUGAGUGACGGUAAUGGGUAAAGAAGCACCGGCUAACUACGUG
rnacentral:rRNA from 1 species